GAGGGCAAGUCUGGUGCCAGCAGCCGCGGUAAUUCCAGCUCCAAUAGCGUAUAUUAAAAUUGUUGCAGUUAAAAAGCUCGUAGUUGAAUUUCUGNUGCAUCGCCUUUGCUCCCUUACGAGUUUUGGCAUUGCGGCUUAUUUCGGAUUUGCUUGCAUUUCCGAAUGUUUACUUUGAGAAAAUUAGAGUGCUCAAAGCAGGCUUUUGCCUUGAAUAGUUUAGCAUGGAAUAAUGAAGUAGGACUUUGGUUCUAUUUUGUUGGUUUUAGGUACCAAAGUAAUGGUUAAUAGGAACAGUUGGGGGCAUUCGUAUUUAACUGUCAGAGGUGAAAUUCUUAGAUUUGUUAAAGACGAACUACUGCGAAAGCAUUUGCCAAGGAUGUUUUCAUUAAUCAAGAACGAAAGUUAGGGGAUCGAAGACGAUCAGAUACCGUCGUAGUCCUAACCAUAAACUAUGCCGACUAGAGAUUGGAGGUCGUCAGUUUUUACGACUCCUUCAGCACCUUGAGAG
rnacentral:rRNA from 1 species